rnacentral:RNase_P_RNA from 1 species
GAAACAAACCGGAGAUGAUCGCUGGGGCCCUCGGGUCUCAGAGGAAAGUCCGGACACCACACGGCAGCAUGCCCGGUGAAAGCCGGGGCGCCUUGUUGUAAUGGCAGGGUGACGGAUAGUGUCGCAGAAAAUAUACCGCCCGUUCUUCGCCCUACGGGCUACGAAUAACAGGCCUUCUUCAAAAUGGGAGGGGUGCUGCUCUUCGUGGCUCGUAGCGCGAAGAACGGGUAAGGGUGAAAUGGUGAGGUAAAAGCUCACCGCACUUCGGGUGACCGCAGUGGCAGGACAAACCCCUUGUGGUGCAAGACAGAACAGGGAAAACGGGCAGCCGGUCCGGCUCUGCGGCUUCGGCCAAAGAAUAAUCCCGGGUAAUAGUCGCAUUCCGCUUCGGCGGGGAGCGGGCGCGCAAGCUCCCGUCUAGAUAAAUGAUCGUCCGGCUCUCCUCGGAGAGGCGAACAGAAUCUGGCUUACGGUGGUUUGUUUCACUU